rnacentral:rRNA from 1 species
UUAAGCGACUAAGCGUACACGGUGGAUGCCCUGGCAGUCAGAGGCGAUGAAGGACGUGCUAAUCUGCGAAAAGCGUCGGUAAGGUGAUAUGAACCGUUACAGCCGGCGAUGUCCGAAUGGGGAAACCCAGUGCAAUUCGUUGCACUAUCGUUAACUGAAUACAUAGGUUAACGAGGCGAACCGGGGGAACUGAAACAUCUAAGUACCCCGAGGAAAAGAAAUCAACCGAGAUUCCCCCAGUAGCGGCGAGCGAACGGGGAGCAGCCCAGAGUCUGAAUCAGCUUGUGUGUUAGUGGAACGGUCUGGAAAGUCCGACGGUACAGGGUGAUAGUCCCGUACACCAAAAUGCACAGGUUGUGAACUCGAAGAGUAGGGCGGGACACGUGGUAUCCUGUCUGAAUAUGGGGGGACCAUCCUCCAAGGCUAAAUACUCCUGACUGACCGAUAGUGAACCAGUACCGUGAGGGAAAGGCGAAAAGAACCCCGGCGAGGGGAGUGAAAAAGAACCUGAAACCGUGUACGUACAAGCAGUGGGAGCACCUUCGGGUGUGACUGCGUACCUUUUGUAUAAUGGGUCAGCGACUUAUAUUCUGUAGCAAGGUUAACCGUAUAGGGGAGCCGCAGGGAAACCGAGUCUUAACUGGGCGUUAAGUUGCAGGGUAUAGACCCGAAACCCGGUGAUCUAGCCAUGGGCAGGUUGAAGGUUGGGUAACACUAACUGGAGGACCGAACCGACUAAUGUUGAAAAAUUAGCGGAUGACUUGUGGCUGGGGGUGAAAGGCCAAUCAAACCGGGAGAUAGCUGGUUCUCCCCGAAAGCUAUUUAGGUAGCGCCUCGUGAACUCAUCUUCGGGGGUAGAGCACUGUUUCGGCUAGGGGGUCAUCCCGACUUACCAACCCGAUGCAAACUACGAAUACCGAAGAAUGUUAUCACGGGAGACACACGGCGGGUGCUAACGUCCGUCGUGAAGAGGGAAACAACCCAGACCGCCAGCUAAGGUCCCAAAGUCACAGUUAAGUGGGAAACGAUGUGGGAAGGCACAGACAGCCAGGAUGUUGGCUUAGAAGCAGCCAUCAUUUAAAGAAAGCGUAAUAGCUCACUGGUCGAGUCGGCCUGCGCGGAAGAUGUAACGGGGCUAAACUGUGCACCGAAGCUGCGGCAGCGACACUAUGUGUUGUUGGGUAGGGGAGCGUUCUGUAAGCCUGCGAAGGUGGCCUGUGAGGGUUGCUGGAGGUAUCAGAAGUGCGAAUGCUGACAUAAGUAACGAUAAUGCGGGUGAAAAGCCCGCACGCCGGAAGACCAAGGGUUCCUGUCCAACGUUAAUCGGGGCAGGGUGAGUCGACCCCUAAGGCGAGGCCGAAAGGCGUAGUCGAUGGGAAACAGGUUAAUAUUCCUGUACUUGGUGUUACUGCGAAGGGGGGACGGAGAAGGCUAUGUUAGCCGGGCGACGGUUGUCCCGGUUUAAGCAUGUAGGCGGAGGUUCCAGGUAAAUCCGGUACCUUUUAACGCUGAGGUGUGAUGACGAGGCACUACGGUGCUGAAGUAACAAAUGCCCUGCUUCCAGGAAAAGCCUCUAAGCAUCAGGUAACAUUAAAUCGUACCCCAAACCGACACAGGUGGUCAGGUAGAGAAUACCAAGGCGCUUGAGAGAACUCGGGUGAAGGAACUAGGCAAAAUGGUGCCGUAACUUCGGGAGAAGGCACGCUGAUAUGUAGGUGAAGCCCCUGCGGGUGGAGCUGAAAUCAGUCGAAGAUACCAGCUGGCUGCAACUGUUUAUUAAAAACACAGCACUGUGCAAACACGAAAGUGGACGUAUACGGUGUGACGCCUGCCCGGUGCCGGAAGGUUAAUUGAUGGGGUUAUCCGUAAGGAGAAGCUCUUGAUCGAAGCCCCGGUAAACGGCGGCCGUAACUAUAACGGUCCUAAGGUAGCGAAAUUCCUUGUCGGGUAAGUUCCGACCUGCACGAAUGGCGUAAUGAUGGCCAGGCUGUCUCCACCCGAGACUCAGUGAAAUUGAACUCGCUGUGAAGAUGCAGUGUACCCGCGGCAAGACGGAAAGACCCCGUGAACCUUUACUAUAGCUUGACACUGAACAUUGAGCCUUGAUGUGUAGGAUAGGUGGGAGGCUUUGAAGCGUGGACGCCAGUCUGCGUGGAGCCAACCUUGAAAUACCACCCUUUAAUGUUUGAUGUUCUAACGUUGGCCCCUUAUCGGGGUUGCGGACAGUGUCUGGUGGGUAGUUUGACUGGGGCGGUCUCCUCCCAAAGAGUAACGGAGGAGCACGAAGGUUAGCUAAUCCUGGUCGGACAUCAGGAGGUUAGUGCAAUGGCAUAAGCUAGCUUGACUGCGAGCGUGACGGCGCGAGCAGGUGCGAAAGCAGGUCAUAGUGAUCCGGUGGUUCUGAAUGGAAGGGCCAUCGCUCAACGGAUAAAAGGUACUCCGGGGAUAACAGGCUGAUACCGCCCAAGAGUUCAUAUCGACGGCGGUGUUUGGCACCUCGAUGUCGGCUCAUCACAUCCUGGGGCUGAAGUAGGUCCCAAGGGUAUGGCUGUUCGCCAUUUAAAGUGGUACGCGAGCUGGGUUUAGAACGUCGUGAGACAGUUCGGUCCCUAUCUGCCGUGGGCGCUGGAGAAUUGAGGGGGGCUGCUCCUAGUACGAGAGGACCGGAGUGGACGCAUCACUGGUGUUCGGGUUGUCAUGCCAAUGGCAUUGCCCGGUAGCUAAAUGCGGAAGAGAUAAGUGCUGAAAGCAUCUAAGCACGAAACUUGCCCCGAGAUGAGUUCUCCCUGACUCCUUGAGAGUCCUGAAGGAACGUUAAAGACGAUGACGUUGAUAGGUCGGGUGUGUAAGCGUAGCGAUACGUUGAGCUAACCGAUACUAAUGAACCGUGAGGCUUAACCUU